rnacentral:rRNA from 1 species
AACGAACGCUGGCGGCAUGCCUAACACAUGCAAGUCGAACGAGACCUUCGUGUCUAGUGGCGCACGGGUGCGUAACGCGUGGGAACCUGCCCUUAGGUUCGGAAUAACUCCCCGAAAGGGGUGCUAAUACCGGAUAAUGUCUGCGGACCAAAGAUUUAUCGCCUUUGGAUGGGCCCGCGUUGGAUUAGCUAGUUGGUAGGGUAAAAGCCUACCAAGGCGACGAUCCAUAGCUGGUCUGAGAGGAUGAUCAGCCACACUGGGACUGAGACACGGCCCAGACUCCUACGGGAGGCAGCAGUGGGGAAUAUUGGACAAUGGGCGAAAGCCUGAUCCAGCAAUGCCGCGUGAGUGAUGAAGGCCUUAGGGUUGUAAAGCUCUUUUACCCGGGAUGAUAAUGACAGUACCGGGAGAAUAAGCACCGGCUAACUCCGUG